rnacentral:rRNA from 1 species
GACGAACGCUGGCGGCAGGCCUAACACAUGCAAGUCGAACGGUAACAGGAAGCAGCUUGCUGCUUCGCUGACGAGUGGCGGACGGGUGAGUAAUGUCUGGGAAACUGCCUGAUGGAGGGGGAUAACUACUGGAAACGGUAGCUAAUACCGCAUAACGUCACAAGACCAAAGAGGGGGACCUUCGGGCCUCUUGCCAUCGGAUGUGCCCAGAUGGGAUUAGCUAGUAGGUGGGGUAACGGCUCACCUAGGCGACGAGCCCUAGCUGGUCUGAGAGGAUGACCAGCCACACUGGAAGUGAGACACGGUCCAGACUCCUACGGGAGUCAGCAGUGGGGAGUAUUGCACAAUGGGCGCAAGCCUGAUGCAGCCAUGCCGCGUGUAUGAAGAAGGCCUUCGGGUUGUAAAGUACUUUCAGCGGGGAGGAAGGCGAUAAGGUUAAUAACCUUGUCGAUUGACGUUACCCGCAGAAGAAGCACCGGCUAACUCCGUGCCAGCAGCCGCCGUAA